rnacentral:rRNA from 1 species
GAUGAACGCUGGCGGCGUGCCUAAUACAUGCAAGUCGAGCGAACAGACGAGGAGCUUGCUCCUCUGACGUUAGCGGCGGACGGGUGAGUAACACGUGGAUAACCUACCUAUAAGACUGGGAUAACUUCGGGAAACCGGAGCUAAUACCGGAUAAUAUAUUGAACCGCAGGGUUCAAUAGUGAAAGACGGUUUUGCUGUCACUUAUAGAUGGAUCCGCGCCGCAUUAGCUAGUUGGUAAGGUAACGGCUUACCAAGGCAACGAUGCGUAGCCGACCUGGGAGGGGGAUCGGCCACACUGGAACUGAGCCACGGCCCAGCUCCCUACGGGAGGCAGCAGUAGGGAAUCUGCCGCAAGGGGCGAAAGCCUGACGGAGCAACGCCGCGUGAGUGAUGAAGCUCUUCGGAUCGUAAAACUCUGUUAUUAGGGAAGAACAAAUGUGUAAGUAACGAUGCACGUCUGGACGGUACCUAAUCAGAAAGCCACGGCUAACUACGU